GACGAACGCUGGCGGCAUGCCUAAUACAUGCAAGUUGAGCGCUGAAGCUUGGUGCUUUUACCCACUCGAUGAGCAGCGAACGGGUGAGUAACGCGUGGGGAAUCUGCCUCUUAGCGGGGGACAACAUUUUGAAACGAAUUAUAAUACCGCAUAAAAACUUCAAACACAAGUAUCAAGUUUGAAUGAUGCAAUUGCCUCACUCAAAGACGAUCCCGCGUUGUAUUAGCUAGUUGGUGAGGUAAAGGCUCACCAAGGCGAAGAUACAUAGCCGACCUGAGUGGGAGAACCGCCACCAUUGGACUGGAGCCAGGCCCAAACUCCUACGGGGGGGAGCAGUAGGGAAUCAUCGGCAAAGGGCGGAAGGCUUGCCGCGCCACGACGCGGGGGGGAAGAAGGGUUUCGGAUCGUAAAAGUCUUUUUGUUGGGAAGAACGAUGGUGAGAGUGGUACGCUGAUCAUGUGACGGUAACUAAACAGUAAGGGCCGGCUAACUACGUG
rnacentral:rRNA from 1 species